CAGCAGCAGCCACGGUAAUACGAAGGGGGCUAGCGUUGCUCGGAAUUACUGGGCGUAAAGGGAGCGUAGGCGGACAUUUAAGUCAGGGGUGAAAUCCCGGGGCUCAACCUCGGAAUUGCCUUUGAUACUGGGUGUCUUGAGUAUGAGAGAGGUAUGUGGAACUCCGAGUGUAGAGGUGAAAUUCGUAGAUAUUCGGAAGAACACCAGUGGCGAAGGCGACAUACUGGCUCAUUACUGACGCUGAGGCUCGAAAGCGUGGGGAGCAAACAGGAUUAGAGACCCGAGUAGUCCCUGUCUCUUAUAA
rnacentral:rRNA from 1 species